UGCCAGCAGUCGCGGUUAAACCAAAGAAUUAAGUUAUAUUGUAACGGUAAAAAGACAGUUAGGCAUACAUUAUCAAAGUUUUUCUAUUGUUUAUAAAGGAGUAAAAUUCGAAUAUAGAUAUAUAGUUUAAUAAAAACUAAUAAGCUGAAUCUGUGAAAGCUUGGAGGGAAACUGGGAUUAGAUACCCCACUAUUCCUAGCUAUAAACUAAAGUUAGAUUUACCAGAGUACUACGAACGUCACAAAUUUAAAACUCAAAGGACUUGGCGGUAUUUUAGACCACUUAGGGGAACCUGUCUCAUAAUCGAUAAUCCACGCUAUACCUAACCUUUUUUUGUUCCCAGUUUGUAUAUCGUUGUCGUCAGGUAACUUUUUAGAAAUCAGAAGUUAGCUAAAAUAAUGAAUUUAAACGUCAAAUCAAGAUACAGCUAAUAGAAAGGUGAAGAUGGGUUACAAUUAUUUUAAUUAUAACUACGAAAAAUUAUUAGAAUUAAUAAUAGUGAAGGAGGACUUGAAAGUAAAUUAGAUUAUAUAAAUAAUUUGAAUAUGGCUCUGAAAUGUGCACACAUCGCCCGCCACUCU
rnacentral:rRNA from 1 species